GGGAAAGACUUAAGGCUGAUUCGCUUUUUGUGUUGUCUCUUCUACAAACGUAAAGCCUUUUUUCCCCCCUGCACUGAAGAAAGUCAUUGCUGGAAAUAUUUCUCACCAUUUUGAGUUGUACCAAGGCCAAGGUCCACCAGAUGUCAGUACAAUAUAAAUAAUCCAAAUUGUUUUAUUUAAAAGCCAAAUAGAGAGACUAACAAAAGGUAAGUGCCAGCUAAUAAAGCAAUUUUACU
rnacentral:lncRNA from 1 species